CGGAAAGCCUGACGCAGCGACGCCGCGUGUGGGAUGACGGCCUUCGGGUGUAAACCACUGUCGGGAGGGACGAAGCUCUGACGGUACCUCCAAAGGAAGCACCGGCUAACUCUGUGCCAGCAGCCGCGGUAAUACAGAGGGUGCGAGCGUUGUCCGGAAUCACUGGGCGUAAAGGGCGCGUAGGCGGCCUGAUAAGUCGGGGGUGAAAUCCUGUGGCUUAACCACAGGGCUGCCUCCGAGACUGUCGGGCUCGAGCACAGUAGAGGCAGGUGGAAUUCCCGGUGUAGCGGUGGAAUGCGUAGAGAUCGGGAAGAACAUCGGUGGCGAAGGCGGCCUGCUGGGCUGUUGCUGACGCUGAGGCGCGACAGCGUGGGGAGCAAACAGGAUUAGAUACCCUGGUAGUCCACGCCGUAAACGAUGGGCACUAGGCGUCGGGGGGAGCGACCCUCCCGGUGCCGUCGCUAACGCAGUAAGUGCCCCGCCUGGGGAGUACGGCCGCAAGGCUG
rnacentral:rRNA from 1 species